UGUCCAGCCAAUGGCGGCGGUGAUGCUGAGCCAGACCGGUGUCCUGUCCCAAACUUUACAGUAUCCAAUAAGAGCGUUGGGAACCAUAGGAACAGCAUGAGGGAGGGUCGAGAGGAGGGAGCAAAAAACUGAGAGCCAAUAAAAAGGCACAAAUGCCCCCUCCCCUUCUGAAAAGGAGUAUGUUUACCAUAAUUGACAGCACAAGUGCCAUCCCUGAGCAGACGGUGAUAAUGCAUCAACCCUUCUGCUUGUCGAGAUAGAAGCUGGUGCAGCAGGAUUAAAGCGCCACAAUGCGGCUGUUUCUGCUCUGUGGCUCAGUAUACAAACUGCUGCAAAGUGCAUUUAAUUGUUACUUUGUGUUAUUAUCCAAACAAACAGGAGCGAGGCAUUGACACAGUACAAAAAUUAGCGAGUGCAUGCUUAAAAAGUUUGCUCCAGAGAUGGUCAACUUGUAUGUGGCGCAGCCGACGCAUCGGUGCCCCUUGCAAACAGCUCUCCCUCUCCCUUUUCUCUCAGCAACAGACGCUCACUUUCACCGCGAACAGCCAAUCAUGGCGCAGAAUCCCGCUGGCUCUGACGUCGGUAAUCUCUCCGCCACACCCACUCCACUGAAAAUCAACGGGACCGGUCUCGACUGACGUCACUUCACCGGCAGGCGAUUGGGCAGGCAGUGGUGGAGAGACGAGCCGGUGUGCUGAGCACUGACUGAAAGAUGUGCAUGUUUGAGAUGAGGGCACGUGCGCCAAACGGCCAUCCUUGCACGUGUGAUCACCUUGAUGUAUGGCAUCUGUACUAUGAUAUUAAAGACCAGACUCACGCUGAGACAGACAGCCAUGCUGCAGCUCACAGGAACAGCGCCCCCUGUCAGUGUGAUCUGACGCAUGCAUGUUGAAUCCACUCAAGCUCGCUGAUGGGAGAGAAGAGUAGACCUAAAAACAGAAG